rnacentral:rRNA from 1 species
GAUGAACGCUAGCUACAGGCUUAACACAUGCAAGUCGAGGGGAAACGGCAUCUUAAGCUUGCUUUUGAUGGGCGUCGACCGGCGCACGGGUGAGUAACGCGUAUCCAACCUGCCCAUCACUUGGGAAUAACCUUGCGAAAGUAAGACUAAUGCCCAAUGACAUCCCACGAAGGCAUCCGAAUGGGAUUAAAGAUUUAUCGGUGAUGGAUGUGGAUGCGUCUGAUUAGCUUGUUGGCGGGGUGACGGCCCACCAAGGCAACGAUCAGUAGGGGUUCUGAGAGGAAGGUACACCAGAAUGGAACUGCGACCCAGACUAAAAUGCUACGGGAGGCAGGAGUGAGGAAUACUGGGCAAUGGGCGCGAGCCUGAACCAGCCAAGUAGCGUGCAGGAGGACGGCGCUAUGGGUUGUAAACUGCUUUUAAAAGGGAAUAAAGUGGGUAACGUGUGACUUGUUGAAUGUACCUUAUGAAUAAGGACCGGCUAAUUCCGUG